UUUUAUGGAGAGUUUGAUCCUGGCUCAGGAUGAACGCUGGCGGCGUGCCUAAUACAUGCAAGUCGAGCGAACGGACGAGAAGCUUGCUUCUCUGAUGUUAGCGGCGGACGGGUGAGUAACACGUGGAUAACCUACCUAUAAGACUGGGAUAACUUCGGGAAACCGGAGCUAAUACCGGAUAAUAUUUUGAACCGCAUGGUUCAAAAGUAAAAGACGGUCUUGCUGUCACUUAUAGAUGGAUCCGCGCUGCAUUAGCUAGUUGGUAAGGUAACGGCUUACCAAGGCAACGAUGCAUAGCCGACCUGAGAG
rnacentral:rRNA from 1 species